UAAAGAUGAAUUUAAUGAAACUAUUUGUAAAAUCAAAGAAAUCGAAACAUGUUCGAGUCGAAGGAAUAACGUGAAACUCACUAAAAGAAGAAGUGCGCAACUAGCUGCCAACUAACCCCCACCGCCAGCUACGCAACCCCAGAAACCGCAACGCGACUCGAGCUGCUGCAGUGCGCAACAACCCCUCAACUGAUCGACACCGAUCUUGUAAAAUUUAUUCCGAAGCAAAUAUACAGCCUAUGCUCCAGAUAUCAAUGGCACAUGAAUAUCUAUUGGCACCAAGAAGAAUUUCUGGAGCUCUAUACCAUAAAGUAACUACUUCAUGUGUAUAUACUCUAACUGGUAUUCCAAAUGCUCUUCCAAGUCCAAAAUCUGCUACUUUGAUCAAUCCUGACUUGUCAAUCAAUAAAUUUUGUGGUUUCAGAUCACGAUGAAAUAUUCUACGUUUAUGACAGAAUAAAAUAGCACGUGUAAU